AUGCAUCUUUUUGAUAGACCCGGAGAAGUUAAUAUCUGCUUCGAGGUUUCCACUACAGGUGCAAGAAAAAAGAUCCUUGUCUUUUCUGUUUGUAGUAGCCAAGAUUGAGUGGAGAAAUGU
rnacentral:snoRNA from 1 species